rnacentral:rRNA from 1 species
GACGAACGCUGGCGGCGUGCCUAAUACAUGCAAGUAGUACGCAGUUUCGAACGGGUGAGUAACGCGUAGGUAACUCCCUCUUAGCGGGGGAUAACUAUUGUAAACGCUAGCUAAUACCGCAUAAUAGUAGAUGGACCUGCGUUGUAUUAGCUAGUAGGUAUGGUAAUGGCCUACCUAGGCAACGCUCCAUAGACGACCUGAGAGGGUGAUCGGCCAACCUGGUACUGAGAGACGGCCCAGACUCCUACGGGAGGCAGCAGUAGGGAAUCGUCGGGAAUGGGGGGAACCCUGACCGAGCAACGCCGCGUGAAUGAAGAAGGUGUUCGGAUCGUAAAGCUCUGUUGGUAAGAAAGCGGUACUUAACCAGAAAGUGACGGCUAACUACGUGCCAGCAGCCGCGGUAAUAC